AUACGGAGGGUGCAAGCGUUGUUCGGAAUCACUGGGCGUAAAGGGCGCGCAGGCGGUUUGGUAAGUCAGAUGUGAAAGCCCAUGGCUCAACCAUGGAAGUGCAUUUGAAACUGUCAGACUUGAGUACUAGAGGGGAAAGUGGAAUUCCCGGUGUAGAGGUGAAAUUCGUAGAUAUCGGGAGGAAUACCGGUGGCGAAGGCGACUUUCUGGCUAGAUACUGACGCUGAGGCGCGAAAGCGUGGGGAGCAAACAGAAUUAGAAACCCCGGUAGUCC
rnacentral:rRNA from 1 species